rnacentral:lncRNA from 1 species
CGGCAGCCGGGGCUCCUGGAGCUCCUGUCCCGGCCGGGGGCGUGGAGCUGCAGCUCGGGCUCGGAGAGCUGGUCGGUGUCCGAGAGGGAGGACAGGUCGGAGUCUCCGCCGCUUGCGCCGGCGUCCUCCUCCUCCUCGGGGGGCUGGCUGCUGCUGCUGCCCCCCAGGCUGAGCCUCCGCUGCUCGUCCAGGGCGUAGGAGAGGUUCCACUCCUGGGGGCCCCUGCGGAGCCCGGCGCCCCCCGCCGCCUCGCACUGGUAGGGGCGUUUGAGCCAGUACAUGCGCUUCUCCAGCGGGGUCCGGCUGCGCUCGAACGCGUCCCACUGCUCGCCCAGGAAGCAGCGGCAGACGGCGCACACCAGCGCGCAGCCCUCCGGGGUCACCUCCUGGGCCCCCGGCGCCGGCUCCUGGUGCUGCAGGAAGGGGAAGAAAGGCUGGUUCUCCCGGGGCUGCUUCACCUGCAGUUUCAGCUCUUUGCCGCGCCCGAUCCCCCCGCCGCAGAUGAAGCAGCAAAGCGCCGAGGGGGGAUCGGCGCUGGAGCUGCCGGAGGCGAUCGCGGCCAUCAGCCGCUGCUUGCGGGAGAUCGGCGCCUCCUUCUCCGGCGCUGGGUGGUCGCUCAUUUUGCACCUGGGGCGCCUCGGCGGCGGCUGGGCUCGCGGCUGCCUGCUCCCCGGGUCUGCGCUCUCAUCCUGCUGCACAGCCGCGUUCACGGACGGGCCAUGCUCCCACCCGCAGGCAGCUGCGGAGAGACCGACGAGCUGUGCAAAAGUUGGUCCAAGUUUGGGUGCGAUCAGCGCCCCAUGGCAGGGGCUAGGGGGUCGCUGCGGAGCGGAGCCCUGGAAGGCGCCGCUGGACCGGCUGGGGCCGCCUGGCAGCUGGGAGCUAAGAGCUAACUUUGUCCGUACGUGUCUCGUGCAAAGUUGGGGUGCGAACUCGGCAGCGCCAUCUCCGCAGCGCGGUGGGUCACUUCGCUCCCACCCCCAGCAGCUGCUGCUGCCCCAGCCAGACACCCGCCCCACGGCUCGGGGCUGCAGCUCCCCCCUCUCACGCGCUCCCGGCCAUCCCCCGGAGGGAGGAAAGCCACCCGGUAACCCGGCUCUGCCUGCCGGGCCGCCCACUGAGCGCACAGCCCCGUAUGCG